GGGGGGGGGGGGGGGGGGGCGGGGCGGGGGCGGGGGGGGGGGGGGGGCAGGGAGGGGGUGCGCUUAGGGGGGGCGAGUGGCGGACGGGUGAGGAAUACAUCGGAAUCUACUUUUUCGUGGGGGAUAACGUGGGGAGACUUACGCUAAUACCGCAUACGACCUACGGGUGAAAGCAGGGGAUCGUCGGACCUUGCGCGAUUGAAUGAGCCGAUGUCGGAUUAGCUAGUUGGCGGGGUAAAGGCCCACCAAGGCGACGAUCCGUAGCGGGUCUGAGAGGAUGAUCAGCCACACUGGAACUGAGACACGGUCCAGACUCCUACGGGAGGCACCAGUGGGGAAUAUUGGACAAUGGGCGCAAGCCUGAUCCAGCCAUACCGCGUGGGUGAAGAAGGCCUUCGGGUUGUAAAGCCCUUUUGUUGGGAAAGAAAAGCAGCAGGUUAAUACCCCGCUGUUCUGACGGUACCCAAAGAAUAAGCACCGGCUAACUUCGUG
rnacentral:rRNA from 1 species